AUUGAACGCUGGCGGCAGGCCUAACACAUGCAAGUCGAACGAGUGGCGGACGGGUGAGUAAUGUCUGGGAAACUGCCUGAUGGAGGGGGAUAACUACUGGAAACGGUAGCUAAUACCGCAUACCAUCGGAUGUGCCCCGAUGGGAUUAGCUAGUAGGUGGGGUAAAGGCUCACCUAGGCGACGAUCCCUAGCUGGUCUGAGCGGAUGACCAGCCACACUGGAACUGAGACAGGGUCCAGACUCCUACGGGAGGCAGCAGUGGGGAAUAUGGCACAAGGGGCGCAAGCCGGAUGCAGCCAUGCAGGGUGUGUGAAGAAGGCCUUCGGGUGGUAAAGCACGUUCAGCGGGGAGGCGUUACCCGCAGAAGAAGCACCGGCUAAGUACGUGCCAGCAGCCGCGGUAAUAC
rnacentral:rRNA from 1 species